rnacentral:lncRNA from 1 species
CAUUUGUGCUGGGGUGACUCUGAGAGCACUGAGGCACCUUGCCCUCUCUUCUGGAGGCCCAGCCCCACCUGGAGCGAAGCUCCGAGUGCUGUCACCACAGAGACCAGGCAGCACUGCUGGCAACGGGAGGAUUUACUCAGGAGUGUGACGUGUAUCCAUAAUGUUCACUGAGUGUGGACUCUGUGCACAGCUUGCUCUUCACGGAUCUGUCAGCCUCAUGAGGGCAGCAGGAAACCACGUGCAAGUGGACUCACCUCCCAAAAGAAUGCAAACUCUGAAAUGCUCAUGUUCCCUGAAGGGGGUGAGCAAUUCUAUGAUGGCUGCUUCCUGUACAGAGAGUGCUGAAGCUUCUAGGUCCUAUCUGUGUUCCUAAAGUGUUGCUCAUUCCCCGGCUCUGAAGGAAGCUCCUCUCAGCACUCACCACCGGUCAACAGCAGAAACCAAGUGCAAAUAGAUAAUCCUUCGCAUCGGCAAUCAAAAGCAGCACAUUAGGAGUUGUCAAGGCAAUAAUUUAAAGUCAGCUCUCCGGUGCAUCAAUACUUGCUAAGAAACAUCCCCUGGCCGUGCUGUAGGUUACCCCUGGGAAUGUGACUCUAUCUGGCAGGAAUUCAACUGUCUUGGAAAAGCCAGGCAGGAGCACUGUUACGGAUAUCUUGUUUUGACAAUUCCCUCUGGACCGCA